UCUCCUGGAGGAAGGCUUUGAAUCCUGCCAUCAUCUUUGCUGCAUCUCCCCCAGCAAGACAAUGAGGUGGGGCUGUGCCGAAGGAUACAUUGUGAGCUAAGGGAAGCUCAGGUGACCCGAGAUGCAGGCUUUUCGGUUUUGUGCGGUUGGUGGCUGUAGAGUAGUUGUAGAAGUGCGUUUUCUAUUGUAAAGCCCCCAACUUUGCAAAAGGGCUCCACGUGCAAGUGCAGGAGUGUGCACUUCUGCAGUAGUAGUUCUCCUAGUACCUGAACAGGAAAGCGCUUGGCUCUGGGG